UGAAACAAAACGUGCGAACAGGUGAAAAUAAUGAGGAUGACGUGGGCUGGUGUAAUCAGAUUUCAUUCCGCGUCAGAAGUACCUAGAAAACCAUAACAGUAGUGAAGAGAAAGCAGUCGAUGAAAAACCGGAAUGAGAACAACAAAGAAUCGUGUUACUUAAAAUACCUCCUGUUUAUAGUGUGCCUACUUCAUGGACGUGCUAAGCCAGAAAAUUCUGUAAAGUUCUUGACACAAAACGGGCGUCUUCAGCAUCCCGCCAGUUGACCCAUACAACCAAAUUUGGCCUUUCUCCGAAAACAAAGUCAGUGGGGCAAAAGAGCAGAGUCCCAAACAGGAUUCGGACGCGUUAUCCAUUGAGGAGGAGCACAGUGUAAUUUCGUACCGCGAGCAAGGGAGAGCCUCUGAACAAGAAAAGUGCAGUUGAUGUUAUGAAAUAAUGGUUUCAGCCAUAAACCUGAACCAUAUUUUUCUGCAAUAUACUGUACGUAGAUGAUCCGUACUAUUCGUAGUUCGAGACUAGUGCAAACAUUUUGCGAGACAAAUGUCACUAGUUAAUCAAAGCUAGUUUCACCAUAUAAUAUCCAACCUGUUUCAUGUUUUAUUGGGGAUUUACAUAUAUCGUUUUAGAAGAAGCGAUGUAGUCCAUUGCAUAAAAUGUAUCAUCGGUGUGGUCAACGGGUUUCGGUAGACAACCUUAAUUCCGAAAAAAGAUACUGAUCUCUAAAUAUCUUCCUCGAUCUCACUUUACAGGAAAUUCUAAAUGGUGGCUAGACGA